rnacentral:rRNA from 1 species
GAUGAACGCUGGCGGCGUGCCUAAUACAUGCAAGUCGAGCGAACAGACGAGGAGCUUGCUCCUCUGACGUUAGCGGCGGACGGGUGAGUAACACGUGGAUAACCUACCUAUAAGACUGGGAUAACUUCGGGAAACCGGAGCUAAUACCGGAUAAUAUAUUGAACCGCAUGGUUCAAUAGUGAAAGACGGUUUUGCUGUCACUUAUAGAUGGAUCCGCGCCGCAUUAGCUAGUUGGUAAGGUAACGGCUUACCAAGGCAACGAUGCGUAGCCGACGUGAGAGGGUGAUCGGCCACACUGGAGCUGAGACACGGUCCAGACUCCUACGGGAGGCAGCAGUAGGGAAUCUUCCGCAAUGGGCGAAAGCCUGACGGAGCAACGCCGCGUGAGUGAUGAAGGUCUUCGGAUCGUAAAACUCUGUUAUUAGGGAAGAACAAAUGUGUAAGUAACUAUGCACGUCUUGACGGUAACUAAUCAGAAAGCCACGGCUAACUACGUG